UCGUGGUGUAGUUGGUAACGCGUCUGUCUAGUGAACUGGGAGGCGUGAGUUUAAUUCUCACCGA
rnacentral:tRNA from 1 species